UACAAAUCCACACCUAACUCUAGCCCUAACAUUCAUGCCAAAACUCCUCCAUGUGAGUCAUUGCUCAAAAGGCAGAAAGCUCUUCUCUGCUCUUUGUUGCUGCCUUAUCUCCUCAUCCUUUUUAAUACCAUAAACCUGCCUUCCUAUGUCUCUCUGAGUUGAAGCAUGGAAAAAACUGCAGCUCGCAAUCUGUUCUUUAGCUAUUUAUCAGUGCCGCCGUCUUCCACACCUGUAAAGGUGCAUGCAGUACCCAUAGCUUUGUUUGCUAUCACCAACAUGGCAAGAAGCUGGAGCAAUGGUCAAAGGAUGCUUGUCUUUCAUGCUCAUGCCCUCUUCUCUUUCCCUGUGUUUGCUCUACCAAGUGCUUCUCGCUAGCUUUGCAUUGGCGUUAUCUCAGCUGAGCUUCUCUCAUCCCUCUUCACCUUUGUCCUUUUUUUUUUUUGUUUUCCAAUUUUUUUGAGUUGAUUGUUCUUGACCUUGUAAGACCUUUUCUUGACCUUGUAAGACCCAAUUCUCCAUUUAUCUCUCUUGCCUCACUCUCCCCCAUGAGUGAGUCAAUGCGAACUAUAUUUCUCCCUUCUCGCCCUCCUCUUGCCCACCUCUUUUCUCUAUCCCUCCUGAGCUGCACUUCCAUGUGUAUUUCAUUUGUUUUCAUGAGAAUAAAGUUGAUCUCCAACACUCGUGUAAUUGCUUAUGCGUGCUUAUUGUAAUCAGUGGAAAUGUGUCUUGUAAUUGCAGGCAUCAGCUUGCUUCGUUUGACUUGUUAAUUAAGUAUGUUCUGUGUGUGCAGAGUAUAUCAUUCUUCCUUGACCCAUGGAGAUGUAUAAAA